rnacentral:rRNA from 1 species
CGGCGAGUGAUAAAAUCCGUCGUCAAGAGGGAAACAACCCAGACUACCAGCUAAGGUCCCUAAAUCUUACUUAAGUGGAAAACGAUGUGAAGUUACUUAAACAACCAGGAGGUUGGCUUAGAAGCAGCCAUCCUUUAAAGAAAGCGUAAUAGCUCACUGGUCUAGUGAUUUUGCGCGGAAAAUAUAACGGGGCUAAAGUAAGUACCGAAGCUGUAGACUUGCGCACAACUUAGAUUAUUUAAGUUUAGAAUAUGAGAAACUAAGUUAUAUGUUUAGUUAUAUUUUUACUGAUUUUUAUAGAGUAAAGAUAGAAAUAAAACUUAGUAAAAUCAGUAAAAAUAUUCUUAGACUAAAGUUAAGUAGUUUAAGUUGUGUGCAAGUGGUAGGAGAGCGUUCUAUUUGCGUCGAAGGUAUACCGGUAAGGAGUGCUGGAGCGAAUAGAAGUGAGCAUGCAGGCAUGAGUAGCGAUAAUUAAUGUGAGAAUCAUUAACGCCGUAAACCCAAGGUUUCCUACGCGAUGCUCGUCAUCGUAGGGUUAGUCGGGUCCUAAGUCGAGUCCGAAAGGGGUAGACGAUGGCAAAUUGGUUAAUAUUCCAAUACCAACAUUAGUGUGCGAUGGAAGGACGCUUAGGGCUAAGGGGGCUAGCGGAUGGAAGUGCUAGUCUAAGGUCGUAGGAGGUUAUACAGGCAAAUCCGUAUAACAAUACUCCGAGAACUGAAAGGCUUUUUGAAGUCUUCGGAUGGAUAGAAGAACCCCUGAUGCCGUCGAGCCAAGAAAAGUUUCUAAGUUUAGCUAAUGUUGCCCGUACCGUAAACCGACACAGGUGGGUGGGAUGAGUAUUCUAAGGCGCGUGGAAGAACUCUCUUUAAGGAACUCUGCAAAAUAGCACCGUAUCUUCGGUAUAAGGUGUGGUUCGCUUCGUAUUAGGAUUUACUCCGAAAGCGAAGAAACUUACAACAAAGAGUCCCUCCCGACUGUUUACCAAAAACACAGCACUCUGCUAACUCGUAAGAGGAUGUAUAGGGUGUGACGCCUGCCCGGUGCUCGAAGGUUAAUUGAUGGGGUUAGCAUUAGCGAAGCUCUUGAUCGAAGCCCGAGUAAACGGCGGCCGUAACUAUAACGGUCCUAAGGUAGCGAAAUUCCUUGUCGGUUAAAUACCGACCUGCAUGAAUGGCGUAACGAGAUGGGAGCUGUCUCAAAGAGGGAUCCAGUGAAAUUGUAGUGGAGGUGAAAAUUCCUCCUACCCGCGGCAAGACGGAGAGACCCCGUGGACCUUUACUACAGCUUGACACUGCUAUUUGGAUAAGAAUGUGCAGGAUAGGUGGGAGGCUUUGAGUAUAUGACGCCAGUUGUAUAUGAGCCAUUGUUGAGAUACCACUCUUUCUUAUUUGGGUAGCUAACCAGCUUGAGUUAUCCUCAAGUGGGACAAUGUCUGGUGGGUAGUUUGACUGGGGCGGUCGCCUCCCAAAUAAUAACGGAGGCUUACAAAGGUUGGCUCAGAACGGUUGGAAAUCGUUCGUAGAGUAUAAAGGUAUAAGCCAGCUUAACUGCAAGACAUACAAGUCAAGCAGAGACGAAAGUCGGUCUUAGUGAUCCGGUGGUUCUGUGUGGAAGGGCCAUCGCUCAAAGGAUAAAAGGUACCCCGGGGAUAACAGGCUGAUCUCCCCCAAGAGCUCACAUCGACGGGGAGGUUUGGCACCUCGAUGUCGGCUCAUCGCAUCCUGGGGCUGGAGCAGGUCCCAAGGGUAUGGCUGUUCGCCAUUUAAAGCGGUACGCGAGCUGGGUUCAGAACGUCGUGAGACAGUUCGGUCCCUAUCUGCCGUGGGCGUAAGAAGAUUGAAGAGAUUUGACCCUAGUACGAGAGGACCGGGUUGAACAAACCACUGGUGUAGCUGUUGUUCUGCCAAGAGCAUCGCAGCGUAGCUAAGUUUGGAAAGGAUAAACGCUGAAAGCAUCUAAGCGUGAAGCCAACUCUAAGAUGAAUCUUCUCUAAGCUCUCUAGAAGACUACUAGUUUGAUAGGCUGGGUGUGUAAUGGAUGAAAGUCCUUUAGCUGACCAGUACUAAUAGAGCGUUUGGCUUAUCUUUAAUAAAGCAU